rnacentral:rRNA from 1 species
GCCGGUGCCACCUUCUUCCCCCAUGCCUCGUUUGAAGCUUCGAAUUUUGCCCGAAGGUUGGAUUUUUGCGCGGCGGCCUAGCGAGGCGUCCAACCCCGAGGACCACUGGCCAUGGCGGCCGCCGUCCAUGUCUACCUCCUCCGUCAGCCUCCUCCUCGAGUGCCCCCUCUCCGUCUGCCGCCUCGUCAACCCGGCCUCUUCUCCUGCCAUGGCGCUCCCCCCUCCCGCCUUCCAGUCUCCGCUCCUCCCUCCCCGUCGGCACCUGCCAACUACCCGGCGACCCCUACUGGCCCCCUCGUCCGACCACCUGCUCGCCGUCAACCAUGAAGCCCGCCCCCUCCGUGGACGUCAUCGACCCAAGCACUGGGAAGCACGGGUGGUCAAGGUGAAGGAGCUCACCGUCGAGCUCGCCGGAGCACUACGCGCUCAAGGCGUCCACAACACCUCCACGUGCUCAAGUUCAGAGCUCACCGGAGCUUCAGAUCCAGAUGAAGGCUCAAUGCUGCAUUGCUGACUGGCACAUCAGGGGCAAGCAGCAGACCAGAAAAUUACAAAUGAUUUCUUCGCGGAGCGGAAGAUUGGUGGAGGUCCAUUCGGAAACGUUUAUAAGAUGAUGGCAGAGUGAUUGCGGUGAAGAAACUUCAGGAAAAUGCACCGAUGCCGCCUGACAAGACAUUCAACAAUGAGGAACAGAGGCGAAGUACCAGAGGCGUCGCGUGUCGGGGUCGGGGGCGGGGAAAAAAGAAGGUUCAUUCUAGUUUCUAUAACAGGUUAUGCUAGUGAAUUCAAAUUAUGCUUUGUUUGAUUCAGAUUAUGCUAGUGAAUUCAGUUACUUCACCUUACCUUCACUUCACCAAACAGCGAGAGGAGGGUGCCCAAUGGCCCUGAUCCUAUCCACAACAGCCAACAGCAGCAGCAGAGGUAAUCAGCAGUCGAGGUGGUCAAGGGCAGAGGCAAUCAGCAGAAGCAAUCAGCAGAGGUAAUCAGCAGUCGAGGGCAGGCGGCAGUGGCAUCAGCAGGUCUAUGUGGUUGUCUCGCCGCCGGGGAAGAUCCGCCUUGCCCGCCUGCCGAAUUAUUCAAGAGGCACAAGAGGGGAGCUGCGACCGGGGUUGGCAGCGGCGGCUGGGGUUGCCGCGGGGGGUGAGGAACCGGCGAGUAGGGCACAAGCAGGGCCAGGGACGCGAGCAGGGCUGCGAGGAGGAGGCGCCCGUCGAGGUGGUCGCCUUCGAGGAGCAGCCUCAGCUGGGCGGCAGGGCAGCUCGCCUCCGUGCAGGCGGCCCACGUUCGCAGCGGCGGAGCAACCGCAGGUGGGCGACGGCGCAGGUGGUCGCCCGCUCUUUCUACGGCGGCUGCCGGCGGUGGCUACGACGGCCGCUUGGUCGAAGGAGGAAGAAGCAUAGGUGAGGGGGGAUUAGCACUAGAUUUAAAACCGGAAGGAGUUUUCUGUAAAAUUUGAAAUGAACUAAGCUCUAGACAACUUUUUUCGGACGGAGUGAGUACAUCAGUAUGUAUCUCUCAUCCAUCCCACAUAGAUAGGAAUUUGUGGUGAUUCUAUCCAUUACUUAUUCCUUAUUAUUA